CGCGUAGGUGGAUAAAUAUGUUGGAUGUGAAAUCCCCAGGCUUAACCUGGGACGGUCAUUCAAAACUGUUUGUCUAGAGUGCAGUAGAGGAAAGCGGAAUUUCCGGUGUAGCGGUGAAAUGCGUAGAUAUCGGAAGGAACACCAGUGGCGAAGGCGGCUUUCUGGACUGUAACUGACACUGAGGCGCGAAAGCGUGGGGAGCAAACAGGAUUAGAUACCCUGGUAGUCC
rnacentral:rRNA from 1 species